rnacentral:lncRNA from 1 species
UGACUGAUGUGCAUUUGGUGGCAGGCAGAGCACUUCCUCCUUCUGAUCUUCAAGCUGAGGCUAAAGGAAUGUCAUGGUGAAGAGCAAUUGGAGGCGAACGAGCCUGAAGGUGUCUUCAUCACAGAUGCAAACCCAAAGAAAUGGUGUUGCCUGGCAAGAGAUUUGCUAUACUUCAUGAAAAAUCAGACCAAGUCUUCUUUUUUGAAGAACCACAUCAUAGAAUCAACUGGAUAAAGAAAUGGCAACCCACUCCAGUAUUCUUGCCUGGAGAAUCCCAUAAACAGAGGAGCCUGGCGGUCUACCGUCCAUGGGGUCACAAAGAGUCGGACACAGCUGAGAGAUUGAGCCCAUCAUGGAUUCAACAUCUUUUUGAGUCAGAUGAACCUCACCAUGAACAUUUUGAAAAUGAAAUGAAACCUAGUGAUGUAAACUGAUUUGCCCAAAUUCACACACAAAGUCAAUUGUCUAAUGAGAAGACAUGCUGACCCUAGAGUCUAUACCAUCUAAAAACAUUGCUUCCCAAGAGGAACUUAAGUCUUUAUUUCUAGUUUGAUCAGUGUCAGAUACUUAGAAUUAAAUAUUUCUUCUAACAAAGUAAGAUUGGUUUUAUUAACUAGCAGGAACCAGAAAAGUCGCAGGACUACAGGACUAUUGUCACCUCUCUGGGUGACUCACUUCUUCUUCCUAAUGGCCAGUCAGCAGGCCUUUUAGGUUUAAUUCAG